UACGCGUAAAAGCAAAUUGAUUGCGACUCGGUAGAAAUAAGAUUUAAUUUAGAAAUUAGGCACGUUGCAAGUGUGACUGGAAAUAUUUCAUUUAAUUGCUGCAAACAUCGUAACACUGUAACCUAUUAUUUAUAAUAAUAAUUCUUGCUAUUUUGUUGAAAAUUAGUCACAUAUGCGUGUCAAAGGAUCGGAUAUCAUUUAAUGAUUGUAAUUCACAAUACAUAUGACCACGUCAUCGCAGCAUUACAAAGAUAUAUUUAUAGAUUACAACAAAGAAGAUUUGUGCAAUAUUAACAGGAACCUGAGAACGCUUGUAAUUUAUUACAAUACCUUGACUUGACAAUGGAUACGAAGCUCGCGAUACGAAAAUGAGGAAACGUUGCAAGACAAGAAACUUCCUGGAUGGAUUACAUUUAUGUACCACGAAGAAUAUUCCGCGUUUUUAAUUCGAUCUAUCAAACUAUCAUCUCGUAACACCUGCAACUCGUACCUUAGCGAAUUCCUUCAACUUGUUAAUGUCGAAUGUGACUGAUUUUAAGAUCUGUAGAGAAUCAAAGCCAAAGGGGAGGAAGUCUAACAAUUUGUCUAUUUCUAACAAAGUUUCCUUUAUGACUUUCAGGUUGCCUGAAAGGACACCUACGCGAUAAAACGUCGGAAAUAAAUCUCCUUAAUAACUCAGAGAUUCAAUUUGAAAGCAUCCAACCGGAAGGCAGUUGAACGAUCCUGAAACUGACCAGAGAAGGAAGACCGUCCAUUGAGCAAAGACAAUGUCGGGCAGUAUCGUGGGCGCUGGUACAAUGAACAUCGAUUCGUUUGAUUAAUGAGCCAUCCUUCUGCUUUCAGGAGACAUUAGAACAAGAUUUGGCCGAUGAAUUUGGAUCAAGGAUAAAGAGCCGUUUCGGUCGGUUCCCUGCAACACUUAAAAGCGACUCGAAUCUGUUCUAAUAUGCUAUCUGGCUGGUCUAAGAAUACGCGUUACUCGCAACAUUUAACCGCAGGAAUGUGUUCCAAGCAAUAUGGAACUUCCUAGAUAGACCUUGGACGUCAUAGACGGGUUUCUGCUCAUCGGUGGAAAAAAUAAAAAUCAAUGUUGCUCAUUGACCACAAUUAAACGAAGUAAGCAAUUUGCAAGCAACGCCUGGUAAACGCUGACAAACAAAACAAUGCGUUCUUUGCUUAACAAUGGACAACGUGUUGGUCUCUCUAUGAUCGAUCGUCUUCAUUCCGCAUAAAUACGGAUGUUUCAAUUCAUUUUUCAUGGUAAUUAAUGUGAUUCGUAUUGUUAGGUAACUGUAAGUGAGGGACGUUUAUAAAAUGAAGGUGUGAAUUUAAUUUAUUGCAUGAUAUCUACUGAAAAAAAGAAAUGGUCUGGAAAAUAUUAUUUCAAAUUAAUAUGUACUUAGAAAAAUUGGAUUAGAGAGCAAAAACGAAAAAUUCAUAAAACAUUAGAUAGAUCUUUUUAAUUCAUGUAAAUUUUUUAAUUAUUUGAUAUGUAUCUGAUUUUUUUAGAAUAUCUUUUUCUACCCUUGGACAAGUAAUUCUCGAUGCACGCGCAUUCACUUGACCCGUUUCCAUGCUUAUCGAAAACUAUAUAUCAGAGUAAUAACUUCAACUUUGAUUGACAUAGUACAAGAUUUACAUAUCUUUUAUGAUAAUUAACGAAGGAGUGGUGUACCUUGCAGUAAUAAACGGCGAAAUUCUUUUCCAAUGCGUCUUUCCAAUGUCAGACUAUUUCUGAUUCAUACUACUUUGCCAUUUAGGAUUUAUCUGCCUUUCACCCGAAACAAAGAUUCCUCCAGGUAAUAUGCAUUUUACGACCACCAAUUUUAUCAGUCAUAGUUUUUAAUGGACACAAGAAAAAAACUGGUCUGAACGGGUCGUUCGCAAAUCAGUCGCGAUUCUAAAAUACAGGCGUUCGUUAAGGUGUGCUCGAAUGGUAUUUACCUUUUCGUGGCAAAGAGGCCUCGUUAGGCCGUGCGAAUGAUAAUAAUAACGCUGAAUAAACUAACGACCAAUAUACCAGCGACGAUUCAUUAGCUGUUCGACGCUAAAGCAUCGUUGGAUUUACCGAACAGGCGCCUGGGUUUAUUGAACGAGUUCUACGGCAUUUGGAGAUACCUGAGAUCGCUUACAAUUAAUUCCCUGCUCAUUUCGGGUCUUUAGGUAUUUAUCACAAGAAUUUUUCGGGGCACCGACCUUCAGGAAAGGAAUAGUAAAUGAUUUCAAAAGACAAGUUAAAUUAUUGGAACUAUAGAUUAUUGAUUCGAAUUCGAAUCAGUUGCAUUGCCAAUAUUUAUUUAACACUUAUCGUAGGAGUGAAUUAAUAUUUUACAGAAGUACUUUAAGCUCGUAUCGUGUUGUUCAAAAGAAAUAAAACUUCCAGGAAAAUUAAUUUUCGUUGCAAGAUGUGUCUCAGGAACCCAAUUUAAGAGUUGUGAAAUCAAAGCUCGAAAGCGUCUCGAGAAGAACUCCUACUCGAGAACGAUUCUCGACAGUGUCAGCAAGAAAUACACCGACACGCUUUCGACGAAUUUUAGUGACACGCACAGAUAAAGAGAUGUCUCCAAAAAGAGUCUCUCUUAUCACGGUGACACGAACGGGACACGGUCGUGUGAUACUUUUUAUUGCCCCACGGUAGUAAGCCUCGAGACACUCGGUUUUCUUCGGUCGAGCAAGGAGAAAAAAGAAUGGGAUCGAAAAACAAAAAAGGAAGUGGAGAAAGGGGAAGAAAUGUAAAAAAAAAGACACAGAAGGCUCUUCGUAUACAUGCUUUUCAGCAUGUGCUGAGAAACGGAGGCCUGAAUGCGGACGGGUUUGAAGCACGAGGCGCCAGAUAUCCUGUAAUUUGUCUUUCAACGAAUCACUUUGGUUGACCACGUGAGACGACGAAAUUUCAUGGAUCAGUUUUAUUGCUGUUCAGAUUGAUUAAAAAUGCAAUUUCUGAUUUCUUAAUCCUUUAAGUACAGUAUCAAGCAACGUAAGCUUCCCUAGGGAAAAUAGUGUUACAUUACACCGUCAUUCUCCUUGUGGUCACCUAAGAUGGAGGAGGGAUUCUAAGGAAGGGAGAGACCGACAUAUCGCCAUUUUUUCUAAGCAAGGCCACCAUGCUCGGUACUGUAUAAUGAGCACAUGCUCUGAAAUAAAGAAAUACUAUUCAGCGUGUAUGAUUUAACUGAGGAAUGUAGCAUCGAGCUUAAAAGUGCUGUGCUCAUAAAGGAUUAAAAGAAACUUAUCAGUAGAUAAAAUAAUCACCAAAACACUUUGGACCAUUUAUCAAGUGUGCAAAUAUGUUAUUCGUACUUCGAUAAUUCGUUCUUUGAUUUCGAAACACGAGCCCGUGUAACCUCCCAGAAAAUCGAUGACGUACAUGAUCGUUUGAAAGAAACAGGUCCUUUGAAUUCGGCUUCAAAGAGACCGGCCUACACUUACUACGCUUUUUUUCAAGUUCUUGCACGCACAUUCGAACGACUGCACAUUAGUUUGAUCUACGAGUCGAAUUAGAACUAACCCAGAAACAUUCUCGACAGCACACUAAAUCGUGAGUAAACGUUUCUUACCGUCAGAGAU